CCUACGGGUGGCUGCAGUGGGGAAUAUUGGACAAUGGGCGAAAGCCUGAUCCAGCCAUGCCGCGUGUGUGAAGAAGGCCUUCGGGUUGUAAAGCACUUUCAGUGGGGAAGAAAGCCUUGGGGCUAAUACCCUCGAGGAAGGACAUCACCCACAGAAGAAGCACCGGCUAACUCCGUGCCAGCAGCCGCGGUAAUACGGAGGGUGCGAGCGUUAAUCGGAAUUACUGGGCGUAAAGCGCGCGUAGGCGGUCUGAUAAGCCGGUUGUGAAAGCCCCGGGCUCAACCUGGGAACGGCAUCCGGAACGGUAAGGCUAGAGUGCAGGAGAGGAAGGUAGAAUUCCCGGUGUAGCGGUGAAAUGCGUAGAGAUCGGGAGGAAUACCAGUGGCGAAGGCGGCCUUCUGGACUGACACUGACGCUGAGGUGCGAAAGCGUGGGUAGCAAACAGGAUUAGAUACCCGAGUAGUC
rnacentral:rRNA from 1 species